UCUUCUUCCCUUUUUCUUUUAGAAAUGUGGCACCCCACUGGCAAGGCUCUCUGGGAUUCAGUAUAAGGGCUGCAGACAAACAGGAAUGAAGGAAUAAAGAGGAACACUCAGAGGGGUGAGGACGGAGGGAGGCUUGGAUGCAGAGGAGGAGACUGAGCAUGGACAGUGAGAAGCCUUUCCCAGGAUGACUCCCACUCUGGAGAGGACAGCUGAGUGCCUACCAUCGGGGCUGUACUGGAGAGACACCAGUUUGAAGAGUGUACAUCAGAAAACGAUCACAGCCCGUUCACAUGGUGUCUGCUGGGCCUAUUGUCAGCUAAUCGAGACCAGCCUUGCUCCACCCAAGUCAGUGUGGCAUCCAGGGAGGCUGGUGAGGAAUAAGCUGAAGCGUGAGUGUGAAGGGCACUGUCAGUUCUGCAGAAAUGGCUCUUAUUUCACAGGGCUAACGUCACAUCCAGAGUGCUCACAGCAGUCUUUGUGCAGGUAUCCUCUGGGGAGUGAGUGAGAAGCAGCUAUUCUGAGC